rnacentral:tRNA from 1 species
CUAAUAAAGUAUACUAAGUACUUAUCUCUUACAUAGAUAAAGAGUCAGCUUUGACUGUUAGA